ensembl:snoRNA SNORA73 Small nucleolar RNA SNORA73 family
CCAACAUGAAUAUCCCAGGAGGUCACUCUCCCUGGGCUCUGUCCGAGUGGCGUAGGGGAGCACAGGACUCUGCCCCAUGAUAUACAGUCCCUUUCCACAAUGUUGGAGAUGAAGCUGGGCUUCAAGUCUACACCUCAUAUUCCUACAACUUCUCAGAGUCCUGUGGACGAUAACUGGGGAGACAUACCACGCAAGGAACGGUC